rnacentral:tRNA from 1 species
GAGGGUAUAGCUCAGGGGCAGAGCACAUGCUUAGCAUGGACGAGGUCCUGGGUUCAAUUCCCAGUACCUCCA